GCCUGGCUGGCUCAGUGGCAAAGCAUAUGACUCUUGAUCUUAAUGUUGUGAGUUCCAGCCCCACCUUGGGUG
rnacentral:tRNA from 1 species